rnacentral:rRNA from 1 species
AUUGAACGCUGGCGGCAUGCUUUACACAUGCAAGUCGAACGGCAGCGCGGGCUUCGGCUUGGCGGCGAGUGGCGAACGGGUGAGUAAUGCAUCGGAACGUGCCCAGCAGUGGGGGAUAGCCCGGCGAAAGCCGGAUUAAUACCGCAUACGACCUGAGGGUGAAAGCGGGGGACCGAAAGGCCUCGCGCUAUUGGAGCGGCCGAUGUCGGAUUAGCUAGUUGGUGGGGUAAAGGCUUACCAAGGCGACGAUCCGUAGCUGGUCUGAGAGGACGACCAGCCACACUGGGACUGAGACACGGCCCAGACUCCUACGGGAGGCAGGAGUGGGGAAUUGUGGACAAUGGGGGCAACCCUGAUCCAGCCAUGCCGCGUGCGGGAAGAAGGCCUUCGGGUUGUAAAGCGCUUUUGUUCGGGAAGAAAUCCUCUGGGCUAAUACCCCGGGGGGAUGACGGUACCGGAAGAAUAAGCACCGGCUAACUACGUG